AGGGUUUGAUCAUGGCUCAGAACGUACGCUGGCGGCACGCCUAAUACAUGCAAGUCGAACGAAGUAGCAAUACUUAGUGGCAGACGGGUGAGUAACAUGUAGGUAUCUUCCCAUUGGUGAGGAAUAACACGAGGAAACUUGUGCUAAUACCUCAUAAGUCUUUACGGAGAAAGCUUUAUGCGCCGAUGGAUGAGCCUGCACUUGAUUAGUUUGUUGGUAGGGUAAUGGCCUACCAAGACAAUGAUCAAUAGCUGAUUUGAGAGGAUGAUCAGCCACAUUGGGACUGAGACACGGCCCAAACUCCUACGGGAGGCAGCAGUAGGGAAUCUUGCACAAUGGGGGAAACCCUGAUGCAGCGAUGCCGCGUGAGUGAAGAAGGCCUUUGGGUUGUAAAGCUCUUUCGUCGGGGAAGAAAAUGACUGUACCCGAAUAAGAAGGUCCGGCUAACUUCGUGCCAGCAGCCGCGGUAAUACGAAGGGACCUAGCGUAGUUCGGAAUUACUGGGCUUAAAGAGUUCGUAGGUGGUUAAAAAAGUUGGUGGUGAAAUCCCAGAGCUUAACUCUGGAACUGCCAUCAAAACUUUUUAGCUAGAGUAUGAUAGAGGAAAGCAGAACUUCUAGUGUAGAGGUGAAAUUCGUAGAUAUAGAAAGAAUACCGAUUGCGAAGGCAGCUUUCUGGAUCAUUGCUGACACUGAGGAACGAAAGCAUGGGUAGCGAAGAGGAUUAGAUACCCUCGUAGUCCAUGCCGUAAACGAUGUGUGUUAGACGUUGGAAAUUUAUUUUCUGUGUCGCAGCGAAAGCAAUAAACACACCGCCUGGGGAGUACGGCCGCAAGGUUAAAACUCAAAUGAAUUGACGGGGACCCGCACAAGUAGUGGAGCAUGUGGUUUAAUUCGAAGAUACGCGCAGAACCUUACCAACACUUGACAUGUUCGUCGCGACUUUAAGAGAUUAAAGUUUUCGGUUCGGCCGGACGAAACACAGGUGCUGCAUGGCUGUCGUCAGCUCGUGUCGUGAGAUGUUGGGUUAAGUCCCGCAGCGAGCGCAACCCUCACUUUUAGUUGCCAUCAUUAAGUUGGGCACUCUGAAAGAACUGCCAGUGAUAAGCUGGAGGAAGGUGGGGAUGACGUCAAGUCCUCAUGGCCCUUACGUGUUGGGCUACACACGUGCUACAAUGGCAUUUACAAUAGGAAGCAAGACGGCGACGUUAAGCAAAUCCUAAAAAAAUGCCUCAGUUCGGAUUGUACUCUGCAACUCGAGUACAUGAAGCUGGAAUUACUAGUAAUCGCGGAUCAGCGCGCCGCGGUGAAUACGUUCCCGGGUCUUGUACACACCGCCCGUCACACCAUGGGAGUUGGUUUUACCUUAAGGCGAAGUUUAAUACCUUUGACCACGGUAUAGUCAGCGACUGGGGUGAAGUCGUAACAAGGUAACCAAGGG
rnacentral:rRNA from 1 species